rnacentral:rRNA from 1 species
CCUACGGGGGGCAGCAGUUGGGAAUCUUGGACAAUGGGGGAAACCCUGAUCCAGCCAUGCCGCGUGAGUGAUGAAGGCCUUCGGGUUGUAAAACUCUUUCGCGCACGACGAUAAUGACGGUAGUGCGAGAAGAAGCUCCGGCUAACUUCGUGCCAGCAGCCGCGGUAAUACGAAGGGGGCUAGCGUUGUUCGGAAUUACUGGGCGUAAAGCGCGCGCAGGCGGUCUUCCAAGUCAGUGGUGAAAGCCCGGAGCUCAACUCCGGAACUGCCAUUGAAACUGUGAGACUUGAGUAUGAGAGAGGUGAGUGGAAUUCCCAGUGUAGAGGUGAAAUUCGUAGAUAUUGGGAAGAACACCGGUGGCGAAGGCGGCUCACUGGCUCAUUACUGACGCUCAGGCGCGACAGCGUGGGGAUCAAACAGGAUUAGAUACCCGGGUAGUC